rfam:Triticum aestivum genome assembly, contig: Triticum_aestivum_CS42_TGACv1_scaffold_049780_1BS
CUGAUACUCCCUCCGUUCGGAAUUACUUGUCUCGGAAAUGGAUGUAUGUCCAUAUACAUCCAUUUCCGAGACAAGUAAUUCCGAACGGAGGGAGUAUAAA